AUGGAAUCGGCGGGGACGUCAUCCAGGCGACAACGACGCGCCGGUGGGAUCUUCCUGCCACAUGUGCAUCUCGUCCUGCUUAUGAACCCUCUUAACAUCCCCAACUCCGGGCGCCAUUUCUACCUCGCCGUUGACCGCCUCCAGUUCAAGAUGAGGACACUACUGGAGCUCCUAGGUGUUGUCUCUGACCGCCUUGGCCCGGUGCCCAUUGCCAUAUGUGUUUCAUCCCGGGAUGAGCUAGAUGCUGUCUGUGCUGCUGUUGCCAACCUCCCCUUCGUGUCCUUAUCACCGCUGUACAGCGAUCAAGAUGAAGCUGAGCGUGCAUCUGUUCUUGAGAAAUCCCGUCGGGCAGCAAUACAGCGAAAUCAAAUUGAAGAUACUUCUAUUGAUGAAAGUCCCAAGCCUGAAAGUGUGGUCUUGAAGCAAAAUAUUACAGUUGUAACAGAUGCUUGCUUGCCUUCGGCGGCGAUGGGAGAGGCUCCCCUUAUGUCUCGUGUGCUGAUAAACUAUGAAUUGCCUACAAAGAAGGAGGCUUACUUAAGACAUGUAUCAGCAUGCUUGGCAACAGAUGGAAUCGUGAUUAAUAUGGUGGUUGGUGGUGAGGUGGCUCUUCUAAAGUCUCUGGAAGAAACCAGUGGAUUUUUCAUUGCAGAGAUGCCAAUACAUCUUUCCGAGAUAUUAUGA
rnacentral:rRNA from 1 species